rnacentral:lncRNA from 1 species
AAAAAAAAAGCAAGGUUUUUAUAUAAAGGAAUAAGGGAAAGAUUGUAACAAGUUUAUGUAUUAUUGCGGAAAAAAAAUAGACUUGAAAACAAAUAUGUCCAUUAAAGGCACUGUGAUGAAAUUUUACAGAAGAGGGUGAGAAAGAAAGGUGAUUAGUUCUAAGAAGUGGGACGAAGUGGGCAGCAGCCGCAGAUUUAAAAAGUAGGUGAUUUUUUUGAGAUAAUAUUUAAAAGAUAAGUAAAUAUUACUUUGCUAGCCAGGGAGAGGGGAGGGGCUAUUAGAAGCAUUGCAGGUAGGAAAAAAAAAAAAAAAGUUGAGCCAAGGUAUAGAUCGUGGUGGCAUGGAAUAGCAUUGCGAAAGACAGAGCUGGGAGGUGGGAGAAGUUUCCUGUGAUGAGCACAUAAGGUGUGGGCAGAAGUCUGGUGAGAGAAGGGUCUAGAGAGGAGACUGAGCACGCAGUUAAAGGGUGUGAACUUCAUCUCCAGGGCAGUGGAGAACUGUUAGAGGGUUUCAAGCACAAAAGAGAUUUAAAUAGAACUACUUUUUGGGUUGUUGUUAAGGAAGCGCUCAGUUGAUGGUUGUAUUCAGAAAGUUUUGACGAGGUCAAGAUCAGAGUAGACAGGAGUUUUAAGGAGAGAGAACAGUGGGAAGAAUGUGGGAAGGCUAGAGAUCAGAAACAGCUUGGUUCAUGAAACAAAGUGUUCAGAGCAGAGAGACCAUACCAGGGGCUCCAAAGUGAAGCGAUUAGGGUCAAGCUGCAGCAGGGGGCACAGAAGAGAGAAGUGACACUGGGGAGCUUAAAAAGAAAAGGCAGAGUGUAGGCGCUGACUGACUGUGUGGGCGAGUGCAGGGGCUCAGGCGACUCCCAGGUCAGCUUGGGUGACUGCGUGGACAGUUAUGCCACUUAAGAUAACAAAAGAGGUGGUAGGAGCAGCAGAUUUGGGGAGGGACCUUGUUCAGUGGGGUUUGGUACAUAUUGUUUAGAGAUUCUUGUGGAACACCAAGUUGAGAUGGUCCAUCCAGUCGGCAGUAUGCAAUUUAGGAAUGAGGUUUGAUAUAGAGAAGACAGCGCCUGCAUCCACAGCACAUAGUCCAGUAGACGUUCAGGGCGUGAAGGAGUGAUUACCUGGCGGGAAUGUCAUCCAAGGUAUUGUGAAAUAAAAGCAAUACUAAAGACAAAAUCCUGGAAUAAAGGGAGGAUGUCAACAUUUGGGAAACAAGCAGGGGAAGAGGAACCAGAGAAGAAACUGCUAGGAUUCUACACUUUUGAAGGGAAAAGAGAGAGUGGUAAGAAACUAGAGAGAUUCAGAAUCAAAGCAAAGACUUAACUUCACUUGGUUAAAGCAACAAAGAGGGAGAGAGGGAAAAUCCAGCAGAGGUAGAUACUGCUUCUGAAGAGAAGUAAUGGAAUUGGGAAAAGAAUGGUUGAAGGGGUUGAGCACAUACUGAAGGGCAGAUGGUACAUCCCAGGAAACUGGGGGAUUCAGGGCAAAUUGUAGGCGGGGCAGGGAGGGCUCUGGAAUUAGUCAUAGAUUCAGGGAUGGGAAUUUCCACUCUUAACCUUAGUUUUCUCUGUAAAGUAAGAUGCAGAUUCAUUUGCUGAAAGAAGGGGGUUCAUGAUAGGAAAGGAAUGAGAAAAUGGAUAAGGGUUGGAAUAGCAACUUUGGGAAUUGGAAGAGGGACUUGACCAGGUUUAAGCGUAGAGAAACGGAGGGAUUUAGUGGAGUCCCGUGCCCCUCCGCAUUUCUGGAAGGAAAACAUGUCCCUGACUGUCAGAAAAAGAAUAAAAAUUUCCAGAGUAUAUGAAGUCAGCCAAAUACAUUGUGAAACAGGAAUCAUAUUCUAUUCUAAAUAUGAAUACCCACAAUUUUUAUAUCAAAAAAAAUUUUAAAGCCAAGCAAACUAAGCACUGGGAUGUAUUAGGAAUGAAUUCUUAGUGUCCACAGGUCCCACAGGAGAGAAAGAACUAGCAUGGUCCGUGAAUAAAAAUCAUCGUUCUAGGGAGUUCCCGUCGUGGUGCAGUGGUUAACAAAUCCGACUAGGAACCAUGAUGUUGGGGGUUUGGUCCCUGCCCUUGCUCAGUGGGUUAAGGAUCCGGCGUUGCCCUGAGCUGUGAUGUAGGUUGCAGAUGCGGCUCGGAUCCCGCGUUGCUGUGGCUCUGGCAUAGGCCGGUGCCUACAGCUCCGAUUCAACCCCUAGCCUGGGAACCUCCAUAUGCCAUAGGAGUAGCCCAAGAAAUGGCAAAAAACAAAACAAAACAAAACAAAAUNAGGGCAGAUGGUUUAUAGACUGCAAAUCUGAGGUGACACAAAUUUCAGCAGUUGUGUGAGUGCUUCACAGCUCAGCCAUAAGAGCAGUGUCAGAUGGUAGAUGGCCAGUCUGACCCAAAGCAGAGAGUGUUUGUGUCCCUUGUAGCAGAAGGACAGAGCAGAGGGUCCUUCCCCGGAGAAGCAGCUGAGUCCUAAGUGGAAGGCCCAUGUCCAAUUGAGAGGAGCGUUGGAUCAAAGCCUUCCACAUCCCUCCCCCAGUAAGACAGACAAUGUUCUGGUCAGUCUAAUCAAGACGAAAAGGUAGAAAUGAAACACCAAUCACCAAUUUAAAAAACUCGUUAUAAUGGCGUAACAGAAAUAUACUACGUUGAUAUGAUUUAAAAGUUCUCUCUGAAACCAACAGCCGAUGUAAUUCUUAAAAGUAAAAUAGCAGAAAGAUUCUUAUUAAACAUAAGACCAUUGUGACAUCAAAAUUACUCAUUUUAUGCUAUUCUGAAGGUACAGCCGAAGCAAAGGGCAGAAAAGAGAAAGAAGAAAUAGGAUUAUUGGAAAAGAAAGAAGAGAUAUUAUUUAUAGCUAAUAUGAUUAUCUGUUAGAAAACUCAUAAAAAUAAAUUUUAAAAUUAUUUGAACUAGUUAAGGAAUUUAAAAAGAUCAAUUACAAAAGUAAUAUACAAAAAUUUACUAGGUUCCAGAAGUCGGCAACCAAAAAGCACUAGGAAGAGUUCCCGCUGUGGCACUGUGGGUUAAGAGUCUGACUGCAGCAGCUUGGGUCACUGCGGAGGCAGAGGUUCUGUCCCUGGCAUGGCACAGUGGGUUAAAGGAUCCAGCACUGCCUCAGCUGUAGUGUAGGUUGCAACUGUGGGUCAGAUUCAGUCCCUGGCCUGGAAACUUCCAUAUCC